rnacentral:rRNA from 1 species
UACGUAGGGUGCGAGCGUUGUCCGGAAUUAUUGGGCGUAAAGGGCUCGUAGGCGGUUUGUCGCGUCGGGAGUGAAAACUCAGGGCUUAACCCUGAGCCUGCUUCCGAUACGGGCAGACUAGAGGUAUGCAGGGGAGAAUGGAAUUCCUGGUGUAGCGGUGAAAUGCGGAGAUAUCAGGAGGAACACCGGUGGCGAAGGCGGUUCUCUGGGCAUUACCUGACGCUGAGGAGCGAAAGUGUGGGGAGCGAACAGG